UCUGAAUGCAAUGGAUACUUGUAUUUAUAUGAAAAGAUUGAAGUAGCUAUUGGAAGGAUUUAAUGCUUUAGCAACAUCAUUAAUUGAUGGCCGACUAUCUAUGAAGAGGCUCAACGCACCAUAGAAGAAAUGACUCCAACCACUUAAGGGAUGACUCCAAGUGAUCUGAGAGACGGCUCCUACCUUACUUCCAUUUUUGCUCAUAG
rnacentral:lncRNA from 1 species